rnacentral:ncRNA from 1 species
GUCGGCGUCGUCACGCUCGCGCCCGUCGCGGUGCCCGUGACCAGCGAAUUGCCGGGGCGCACCAGCGCGUUCGUCGAUGCCCAAGUGCGCGCACGCGUCGAUGGCAUCGUGCAGCGGCGCGAUUUCACCGAAGGCGCGCUCGUGAAGGCCGGCCAGCGACUCUACAAGAUCGA